rnacentral:misc_RNA from 1 species
GAUGAAGAACGUAGCGAAGUGCGAUAAGUAAUGUGAAUUGCAGAAUUCCGUGAAUCAUCGAAUCUUUGAACGCAAAUUGCACUCUCUGGUAUCCCGGGGAGUAUGCCUGUUUGAGGGUCAGCGUUAAUAAAAAUCGGUGCGUUGCACUUUAUUGUGACGUUCUGGAGUUUGAGUUAUCUUAACUUUUAGGUUAAGAGGCUUAAAAUUGACCUUUUUUUUGUGCAUUUUAGACGUACAUAAAUUUUCUUUUAUUUGUCUUUUAAUGCCAAAAUUAUAUUAGAUGCGACCAUAUCGUGUGGUUUCGUGUCUAUAAAUUUUUCAUGAUUUGACCUCAAAUCAGGUAGGAGUACCCGCUGAACUUAAGCAUAUCAAUAAGCGGAGGA